rnacentral:sRNA from 1 species
AGUUCCUCCACCUGCUGGCCCCUGGACACCUCUGUCACCAUGUGGUUCCUGGUUCUGUGCCUCGCCCUGUCCCUGGGGGGGACUGGUGCUGCGCCCCCGAUUCAGUCCCGGAUUGUGGGAGGCUGGGAGUGUGAGCAGCAUUCCCAGCCCUGGCAGGCGGCUCUAUACCAUUUCAGCACGUUCCAGUGUGGGGGCAUCCUGGUGCACCCCCAGUGGGUGCUCACAGCUGCUCAUUGCAUCAGCGACAAUUACCAGCUCUGGCUGGGUCGCCACAACUUGUUUGACGACGAAAACACAGCCCAGUUUGUUCAUGUCAGUGAGAGCUUCCCACACCCUGGCUUCAACAUGAGCCUCCUGGAGAACCACACCCGCCAAGCAGACGAGGACUACAGCCACGACCUCAUGCUGCUCCGCCUGACAGAGCCUGCUGAUACCACCACAGACGCUGUGAAGGUCGUGGAGUUGCCCACCCAGGAACCUGAAGUGGGGAGCACCUGUUUGGCUUCCGGCUGGGGCAGCAUCGAACCAGAGAAUUGUAUGUGGGGGCAGACUGUGUAGCCCAAGGCGGGGAUGGGGACUCCUGCGUCCAAGGGAGAAAGGGCCAGGGAAGCAGGUGAGGUCGGGCUGCAGCCCUUUUUCUCCCGGGUUCGUAGUCUCAUUUCCAGAUGAUCUCCAGUGUGUGGACCUCGAAAUCCUGCCUAAUGAUGAGUGCGAAAAAGCCCACAUCCAGAAGGUGACAGACUUCAUGCUGUGUGUCGGACACCUGGAAGGUGGCAAAGACACCUGUGUGGGUGAUUCAGGGGGCCCGCUGAUGUGUGAUGGUGUGCUCCAAGGUGUCACCUCAUGGGGCUACGUCCCUUGUGGCACCCCCAAUAAGCCUUCUGUCGCCGUCAGAGUGCUGUCUUAUGUGAAGUGGAUCGAGGACACCAUAGCGGAGAACUCCUGAACGCCCAGCCCUGUCCCCUACUCCCAGUAAAAUCAAAUAUGCAUCC